rnacentral:rRNA from 2 species
UGCUGGAGGUAUCAGAAGUGCGAAUGCUGACAUAAGUAACGAUAAAGCGGGUGAAAAGCCCGCUCGCCGGAAGACCAAGGGUUCCUGUCCAACGUUAAUCGGGGCAGGGUGAGUCGACCCCUAAGGCGAGGCCGAAAGGCGUAGUCGAUGGGAAACGGGUUAAUAUUCCCGUACUUGGUGUUACUGCGAAGGGGGGACGGAGAAGGCUAUGUUGGCCGGGCGACGGUUGUCCCGGUUUAAGCGUGUAGGUGUGUGUUCCAGGUAAAUCCGGUUCACUUUAACACUGAGGCGUGACGACGAGGCACUACGGUGCUGAAGCAACAAAUGCCCUGCUUCCAGGAAAAGCCUCUAAGCAUCAGGUAACAUCAAAUCGUACCCCAAACCGACACAGGUGGUCAGGUAGAGAAUACCAAGGCGCUUGAGAGAACUCGGGUGAAGGAACUAGGCAAAAUGGUGCCGUAACUUCGGGAGAAGGCACGCUGACAUGUAGGUGAAGUGAUUUACUCAUGGAGCUGAAGUCAGUCGAAGAUACCAGCUGGCUGCAACUGUUUAUUAAAAACACAGCACUGUGCAAACACGAAAGUGGACGUAUACGGUGUGACGCCUGCCCGGUGCCGGAAGGUUAAUUGAUGGGGUCAGCGCAAGCGAAGCUCCUGAUCGAAGCCCCGGUAAACGGCGGCCGUAACUAUAACGGUCCUAAGGUAGCGAAAUUCCUUGUCGGGUAAGUUCCGACCUGCACGAAUGGCGUAAUGAUGGCCAGGCUGUCUCCACCCGAGACUCAGUGAAAUUGAACUCGCUGUGAAGAUGCAGUGUACCCGCGGCAAGACGGAAAGACCCCGUGAACCUUUACUAUAGCUUGACACUGAACAUUGAGCCUUGAUGUGUAGGAUAGGUGGGAGGCUUUGAAGUGUGGACGCCAGUCUGCAUGGAGCCGACCUUGAAAUACCACCCUUUAAUGUUUGAUGUUCUAACGUGGACCCGUUAUCCGGGUUGCGGACAGUGUCUGGUGGGUAGUUUGACUGGGGCGGUCUCCUCCUAAAGAGUAACGGAGGAGCACGAAGGUUGGCUAAUCCUGGUCGGACAUCAGGAGGUUAGUGCAAUGGCAUAAGCCAGCUUGACUGCGAGCGUGACGGCGCGAGCAGGUGCGAAAGCAGGUCAUAGUGAUCCGGUGGUUCUGAAUGGAAGGGCCAUCGCUCAACGGAUAAAAGGUACUCCGGGGAUAACAGGCUGAUACCGCCCAAGAGUUCAUAUCGACGGCGGUGUUUGGCACCUCGAUGUCGGCUCAUCACAUCCUGGGGCUGAAGUAGGUCCCAAGGGUAUGGCUGUUCGCCAUUUAAAGUGGUACGCGAGCUGGGUUUAGAACGUCGUGAGACAGUUCGGUCCCUAUCUGCCGUGGGCGCUGGAGAACUGAGGGGGGCUGCUCCUAGUACGAGAGGACCGGAGUGGACGCAUCACUGGUGUUCGGGUUGUCAUGCCAAUGGCACUGCCCGGUAGCUAAAUGCGGAAGAGAUAAGUGCUGAAAGCAUCUAAGCACGAAACUUGCCCCGAGAUGAGUUCUCCCUGAGACUUAGAGUCUCCUGAAGGAACGUUGAAGACGACGACGUUGAUAGGCCGGGUGUGUAAGCGCAGCGAUGCGUUGAGCUAACCGGUACUAAUGAACCGUGAGGCUUAACCUUACAACGCCGAAG